ACGAACGCUGGCGGCAGGCCUAACCCAUGCAAGUCGAACGAAGUCUUCGGACUUAGUGGCGCACGGGUGAGUAGCACGUGGGAAUAUACCUUACGCUGGGGGAUAACAUCGGGAAACUGAUGCUAAUACCGCAUACGCCCUUCGGGGGAAAGAUUUAUCGGCGAAAGAUUAGCCCGCGUCCGAUUAGCUAGUUGGUGAGGUAAUGGCUCACCAAGGCUCCGAUCGGUAGCUGGUCUGAGAGGAUGACCAGCCACACUGGGACUGAGACACGGCCCAGACUGCUACGGGAGGCAGCAGUGGGGAAUAUUGGACAAUGGGCGCAAGCCUGAUCCAGCCAUGCCGCGUGAGUGAUGAAGGCCUUAGGGUUGUAAAGCUCUUUCACCCACGACGAUGAUGACGGUAGUGGGAGAAGAAGCCCCGGCUAACUUCGUG
rnacentral:rRNA from 1 species